AUUGAACGCUGGCGGAAUGCUUUACACAUGCAAGUCGAACGGCAGCACGGGGCAACCUGGUGGCGAGUGGCGAACGGGUGAGUAAUACAUCGGAACGUGCCCAAUCGUGGGGGAUAACGUAGCGAAAGUUACGCUAAUACCGCAUACGAUCUCUGGAUGAAAGCGGGGGACCGCAAGGCCUCGCGCGAUUGGAGCGGCCGAUGGCAGAUUAGGUAGUUGGUGGGGUAAAGGCUCACCAAGCCGACGAUCUGUAGCUGGUCUGAGGGGACGACCAGCCACACUGGGACUGAGACACGGCCCAGACUCCUACGGGAGCAGCAGUUGGGAAUCUUAGGCAAUGGACGAAAGUCUGACCUAGCGACGCCGCGUGAGGGAAGAAGGCCUUCGGGUUGUAAACCUCUGUCAGUGGGGAAAAGUAGUGACGGUACCCAAGAGGAAGCCCCUGCUAACUACGUGCCAGCAGCCCGCGGUAAAGUACUCUAU
rnacentral:rRNA from 1 species